rnacentral:rRNA from 1 species
ACGGAGGGUGCAAGCGUUAUUCGGAUUUACUGGGCGUAAAGGGAGCGCAGGCUGCCAGAUAAGUCAGAUGUGAAAGCCCGGGGCUCAACCCCGGAAGUGCAUUUGAAACUGUUUGGCUUGAGUAUGGUAGAGGGAAGUGGAAUUCCAGGUGUAGCGGUGAAAUGCGUAGAUAUCUGGAGGAACACCGGUGGCGAAGGCGACUUCCUGGACCAAUACUGACGCUGAGGCUCGAAGGUGUGGGUAGCAAACAGG